AUUGAACGCUGGCGGCAGGCUUAACACAUGCAAGUCGAGCGAGCGGCGGACGGGUGAGUAAUGUCUGGGAAACUGCCUGAUGGAGGGGGAUAACUACUGGAAACGGUAGCUAAUACCGCAUACCAUCAGAUGUGCCCAGAUGGGAUUAGCUAGUGGGUGGGGUAAUGGCUCACCUAGGCGACGAUCCCUAGCUGGUCUGAGAGGAUGAUGAGCCACAUUGGGACUGAGACACGGCCCAGACGCCUACGGAAGGCAGCAGUGGGGAAUAUUGCACAAGGGGGGCAAGCCGGCCGCGGCAAUGCCGCGGGUAUGAAGAAGGCCCUGGGGUUGUAAGGUACUUUCAGUCGGGAGGCGUUACCGACAGAAGAAGCACCGGCUAACUCCGUGCCAGCAGCCGCGGUAAUAC
rnacentral:rRNA from 1 species